CAGGCAGGAACUGCCGGGCGUGGAGGGCUCAAGACGCCCCCGAGAUGUAGCGAGCAGCCCGCCGGAGCGGCGGCUGUUCGUGCAGUUCAAGUAUCCCGCGACUAUUGAAAUGGGCCAAUGGGAAGGGCCGAUGCCCCUGACGUCACUCAAGGCGACACGGUCGCAGACAAAUGAAGGAAGCCGUGAAGGCCACGGAGCGGGGGCGGAGAAACGCCGAAAGGCGGCGGGAGGGAAAACGCCUGCGCCGGCCAAAGAGGCGGGGCCUGAACUUCUAGUGACUAAACUGGGCCACUUGGUGACCCGAGGGUGCUGGGCCGCGGCUGUCUCUAGGACCGACGGAGUCAAACCCCAGCAAUUGUUAGUGGCCGCGCCUGCCUAACGCUGGCCGUGGGGCCCUCAGUUGGCUGGACUGACUGGUCUCCCAAGCUCGGAUCCGACCCAGCCGCGAACCGGCCUGGGGUUUCUUCAGUCAUGCUUCCGAAUUCACCUCAUGAAGAUGUGAUUAGGUACUUUCAAGUUGGGUAUCCAGGAAGGUGUUCUGAAAGUAAAAUGUCACACAUUCUCCUGCUGGAGGUUUUUCAGGAACUUCAGGGAGAAAAAAAAUACAAAGAAAUGAGAUCAUAUGUUGCAAGAUAUACCAGAGGGAAAAAAGUUCAAGUUUUCAAUUAAAGGAGCCACACUUCGCUCUGAGACUGCUAGUUAGCUAGUACUAAGCAGGAAGAAGUGAUAUAGUACGCAUAUCCAAAAGCUCCGACACAAUCUCAUCCAAGGUACUUUGCACAUGGUUGAUAUUUACAAGAUGGUACAAAAGCAAUGGUGGAUAAAGUUGGUAGUGUCUGGCAAGAACCAAAACAAUGGCAACAAACCAUACCAGUGGUCACUGUAAUCUUUAUCACCACUUGAGAGUAAGGAAAAAAAAAAUCCAACUUCAUGUAAGAAUGUUCUUGAUGAAGCAAUAAAAUGUUCUUGAUGAAGCAAUAAAAAGUAUUAUUCUUGUUAAA